rnacentral:rRNA from 1 species
UACAGAGGUCUCAACCGUUGUUCGGAUUCAUUGGGCGUAAAGGGUGCGUAGGCGGCCGCGCAAGUCGGAUGUGAAAUCUUGGGGCUCAACCCCGAAACUGCAUUCGAUACUGCGUGGCUCGAGUACUGGAGAGGAGACUGGAAUUUACGGUGUAGCGGUGAAAUGCUUAGAGAUUACAUGGAAUACCAAUUGCGAAGGCAGGUUACUACUAAUGGAUUGACGCUGAUGGACGAAAGCGUGGGUAGCGAACAGG